rnacentral:lncRNA from 1 species
AUGCUUGCUGGGCUAUAAUUUAUGAAACGGAGCCCAGGAAACAACCAAUCAGUUAGCUCCUCCUAACAAGUCCAACUGGCUACAAAAAGCUGGAAGUGCGGCACAGAACAAUGAAGAGGAGCUAUCCCACGUAUUAAUCUGCUUAUCUAGGAUUGCUUUCUGUGUAGAGAGAGGGGAGCAUGAAACAAGGGACAGGGGGGGAAGAGGAAAAUCACAGUUUUGCUGUUGAAACAACAGGAUAAAUUUCAAUCAA